rnacentral:rRNA from 1 species
AGAGUUUGAUCCUGGCUCAGGAUGAACGCUGGCGGCGUGCCUAAUACAUGCAAGUCGAGCGAGGCCCUUCGGGGCCUAGCGGCGGACGGGUGAGUAACACGUGGGUAACCUGCCUGUAAGACUGGGAUAACUUCGGGAGACCGAAGCUAAUACUGGAUAAUUUCGAGCAUCGCAUGAUGCUUGAUGGAAAGACGGCUUCGGCUGUCACUUACAGAUGGACCCGCGUCGCAUUAGCUAGUUGGUGAGGUAACGGCUCACCAAGGCGACGAUGCGUAGCCGACCUGAGAGGACAGACAGCCAGACUGGGACUGAGACACGGCCCAGACUCCUACGGGAGGCAGCAGCAAGGAAUUUUCGUCAAUGGGCGAAAGCCUGAACGAGCAACGCCGCGUGCGGGACGACGGCCUUCGGGAUGUAAACCGCUUUUGGGAGGGAAGAGUUUGACGGUACCUUCCGAAUAAGCCCCGGCUAACUCUGUGCCAGCAGCCGCGGUAAGACAGAGGGGGCAAGCGUUGUCCGGACUGACUGGGCGUAAAGCGCGCGCAGGCGGUCGCGGGCGUCGGUGCUGAAAGCGCACCGCUUAACGGUGCGAUGCGUGCCGAUACGCCGCGACUGGAGCUCUGCAGAGGUCCGUGGAAUUGCCGGUGUAGUGGUGACAUGCGUAGAUAUCGGCAGGAACACCCAAGGGGAAGCCAGCGGACUGGGCAGCAGCUGACGCUGAGGCGCGACAGCGUGGGGAGCGAACGGGAUUAGAUACCCCGGUAGUCCACGCAGUAAACGAUGCCGACGAGGCGUGGGGGGAGUUGACCCCCCUCCGUGCCGGAGCCAACGCGGUAAGUCGGCCGCCUGGGGAGUACGGCCGCAAGGCUAAGACUCAAAGGAAUUGACGGGGGCCCGCACAAGCGGCGGAGCGUGCGGUUUAAUUCGACGCAACGCGCAGAACCUUACCCGGGCUUGACAUGCGCCUGCACGGUCGUGAAAGCGAUCAGCCUUCGAGGGUGGCGCACAGGUGCUGCAUGGCUGUCGUCAGCUCGUGUCGUGAGAUGUUGGGUUAAGUCCCGCAACGAGCGCAACCCUUGAUCUUAGUUGCCAGCAUUCAGUUGGGCACUCUAAGGUGACUGCCGGUGACAAACCGGAGGAAGGUGGGGAUGACGUCAAAUCAUCAUGCCCCUUAUGACCUGGGCUACACACGUGCUACAAUGGAUGGUACAAAGGGCUGCAAAACCGCGAGGUUAAGCCAAUCCCAUAAAACCAUUCUCAGUUCGGAUUGCAGGCUGCAACUCGCCUGCAUGAAGCCGGAAUCGCUAGUAAUCGCGGAUCAGCAUGCCGCGGUGAAUACGUUCCCGGGCCUUGUACACACCGCCCGUCACACCACGAGAGUUUGUAACACCCGAAGUCGGUGGGGUAACCUUUUUGGAGCCAGCCGCCUAAGGUGGGACAGAUGAUUGGGGUGAAGUCGUAACAAGGUAGCCGU